UACGGAGGGUGCGAGCGUUGUUCGGAAUCACUGGGCGUAAAGCGCGUGUAGGCGGCCUGCUAAGUCUGAUGUGAAAGCCCGAGGCUCACCCUCGGAAGUGCAUUGGAAACUGGCAGACUGGAGUCCCGGAGAGGAGGGUGGAAUUCCUGGUGUAGCGGUGAAAUGCGCAGAUAUCAGGAAGAACACCCGUGGCGAAGGCGGUUCUCUGGGACGGUACUGACGCUGAGACGCGAAAGCGUGGGGAGCGAACAGG
rnacentral:rRNA from 1 species